rnacentral:lncRNA from 1 species
CCUUCACCUCAUCUGUUAAAAAAUGCCAAAGAAAUUCAUGACUAGCUUCUAUUUAAUAAUGGGCUCUCUCUUUGACACUUUCGUUGUGGAUUAAUUGUAUGAAAAUUUAAAAUAUCAAAUUUAUUUGAAUGAUGUUACAUAUUACAGAAGUUGUAUACUUAGUAUAUCAAUUUUAAAUUAUUUAUUUAUUUAUUUGAAUUUAGGUUUUUAUUUACAUCAAAGUAUACAAGUCAAGCAUACAUAGUCCAUCCAUUCAAGAUUAAAGUAUAUCACACUAUGAAUGUCACAAAUGAAUAAAUCCACAAACGAAUUUAAAAUCUAUUUUACUUGGGUCAUGUGUGAUAAUUGUUAAUCCAGUCAGUCAUAUCUAUGUCACUUAUCUUCUAGGAGUCAUCCACUUUGAUGCUCAAAAGAAAACAUCUCUCCAAUUGGACUUGAUAGGCAACAUAUUAGUCUUUCAAUCGAUUUGCUCAUUUUCGAUUGGACUAAAGACAUGUUUAGGUUCAUUUACUAAUAUAAGUCGUCUUUCUGUAUUAUGAUCCAACCACGUAAUACCUCUUAAUAUUAGUUUUUUUUAGUUAAUCGUCAGUUGGAUUCCAGUUAAUGAGGAAACACCAGGUACCUUAUAUUUUGAGAACAAAAUAGAAAAUCAAAUUAAAGAAACACCAACUGUUAACUUUUUCACAACAGUAAGGGAGUCCCCUCCUAUUGUCACCUCUCUACUCCUCAGAUUCAGGUCUAUCUGCAUUGCCUAUAUGCAUGCGAGCACCUCCGCUGCGAAAGCGGAUUCAAUAUGUCUAUUGAUGAUGGUUUUCGAUUCUACCACAUUCCCUUCGGUCAUUCAACUCACAUUCUGGAACAGAACAUCUUCAUGUGUUUCUGAUAAGUGGCAUCAAGAUUUAUUUUAACCCGGGGUGCUAUCAAUGAACUCUAUCUUUCCAACAUGGCAUGUCUAUGAUACAGUCUAUCAUUUACUUGGGAAAUUAAUUGAGAUGUUUCUUUUGAAAAAUAGAAAAAUAAAUAUUAGGUUGGGUUGAAUUAUAAAGUAUUAGGUUAGAAGUCUAGAAAAUACUUUUAAUUGGAUUUGAUAUGAGAAAGACUCAAAAGCCCCUCAUAUUAAAAGAGAGGGACGAUAAACCCUAGUAUUAUUAACUAAGGUUGUCACCCCCUAUACUCCUAGUUAGACUAGGAAUUCAUUUUUUAUUUGAAAUAAACUUCUACAGUUCAACAAAGGUUUUACUUCUUCUCCCUAUAAAUAGAUGGCACCAAUAGAGCAAAAUACACAACUUUAAGUUAUUGUUAUUCUACCCGAAAAUAGUGAGAGUUUAUUCGCUAAGAAUUAAAUAUAUUUUUUGAAAUAACAAUUUUAUUGGUUUCUAUUGAGAAGAAAAUUUUGUUUUCAAACUAAAAGUAAAGAAAAUUAUUUCUAGUUUUGUUCUUGGUUUGAAUUGUUCGAGCCCACAUUCAAAGCAGUUUGUGUUACAAGAACAGUGGAGAAGGUCGUUCGGUUGAAAGCCAAGAACGAGAAGGAUCCAUCUAGACUAUGUGCAAUUUUGGUAAAUGGUUUCUUGCUGUAAAUAUAACAAACUGGCUCAAUUUUCAAAAAUUUUAUUUUUUGAUGAGCAAGAAAAUUAUUUUUAAACCG